UCAUGAAAGCCGGCUGUACCCGAAGUCGCUGUGCCAACCCGCAAGGGAGGCAGGUGCCGAAGGUGUGGCUGGUGAUUGGGAUG
rnacentral:rRNA from 1 species